rnacentral:misc_RNA from 1 species
GAUGAAGAACGUAGCGAAAUGCGAUAAGUAGUGUGAAUUGCAGAAUUCAGUGAAUCAUCGAGUCUUUGAACGCACAUUGCGCCCCCUGGCAUUCCGGGGGGCAUGCCUGUCCGAGCGUCAUUGCUGCCCUUCAAGCCCGGCUUGUGUGUUGGGUCGUCGUCCCCCCCGGGGGACGGGCCCGAAAGGCAGCGGCGGCACCGCGUCCGGUCCUCGAGCGUAUGGGGUUUUGUCACCCGCUCGAUUAGGGCCGGCCGGGCGCCAGCCGGCGUCUCCAACCUUCUAUUUUACCAGGUUGACCUCGGAUCAGGUAGGGAUACCCGCUGAACUUAAGCAUAUCAAUAAGCGGAGGA